ACCUCUGUUGGCAUGGAUGCCCAUUGAAAUCAUUACAAUCAGGUUUUCAUUUAGAGAAUCUUGUUGCUCUUGAUAUGCCUUACAGUGAUAUUCAACAACUUUGAACUGGUGACCAGAUUCUUUUUAAUUUAAAAACUAUCAACCUCCGUCAUUCCAAGCAUCUACAGGGAAGUCUGAAUUUCUCGCUCACCCCAGAUCUAAAGAGCUUAAUUUUAGAAGGUUGUUCAAGUUUGCUUGAGAUUUCUUCAUCUAUCAAUUGUCUUGUUAAACUUGUUAUCUUCAACCUAUGGCAGUGCAAAAGCGUACAUAGUCUUCCAAUGAGCAUCAACUCAAAAUCUCUUAGAAAAGUUAUUCUUUCCUCCUGCUCAAAUCUUGAGAAGUUUCCAAGGAUAUCAGGUGAGAUAGAAGAGUUAUUUUUAGAUGAAACUGCAAUAAAAGAAUUGCCUCUAUCCAUCGAAAAUCCAUCCAGAUUAGUGACACUGAAUUUUAAAGACUGUUCAAGACUUAAGGGUCUGCCAAGCGAUAUAUGUCACACGAAAUCUCUUGAAAAUCUUGGUCUCUCUGGGUGUUCAAAACUUGAUGGGUUGCUGGACAGUUUGAGAAAUUUAGGAGCUUUGAAGGUCCUGAAGUUAGAGAAACUUUCUCUAAGAGAUGUAUUGUCAUCCAUUGUAUAUUUGCACUUUCUGAAGGAACUAAAUCUGACUUUGGUAUUGUGAAGCUACCUAGCAGUUUGGGUCAGUUGUCAACACUUAACGAGUUUAUUUCUCGGCAGAAACAAUUUUGAAAGCAUUCCAACUAGCAUCUUAGACCUUCAUAAGUUAUCUUAUUUGGACUUAAGCUAUUGUCAGAGGCUUCAAUCCUUGCCAGAGCUUCCAAGUCAUCUACAGUAUGUAGAUGCAAGCAGUUGUACAUCACUAGAAGCAACAUUUGGUUUAUCAAUUCUAUUCCCAGCCACGUUGACAAAUGUUGGAGUUAGCUUCAUCAGUUGUUUCAAACUGGAACAAAAUGUACUCGUAGACAUUAUAAAAGAUAUCGUACUGAAAAUUGAGGACACAACAAUUGUAAGAUCUCUCAAUCACUCACAAAUUCGGUUUCAUGUUUAUUUAUAUUUAUAACUGUUUCUAUGUUUAAGUUUGACAGAGUGAUGAACUUUUUUUUUCUUGAUAUGGGAAUUGGCCCCAAGACCUUUUGCAUAUAUCUGUUUCCCUGGAAACCAAAUCCCAGAGUGGUUUACCUUCAAAAGUAUUGGAGCUUCUAUCAGUUCAAAUCAAACAUUAGGUAAAUUCAAUCCUAGAUUUGUAAGUUUUGCUGUGUGCGCUGUUGUAGAGUUCCAAAACUAUCAUGAUGAUGGUCACGGGUUGGUAGUCCGUUGUGAGUGCAAGCUUGGGAAUAGAUAUGGUAAAGUGUUAUUUUACUAUGAUAUUGGACACAAUCGUAUUGACUCAGAGCACAUCUUCUUGGGAUAUGAUCUUCACACGUGUUCCUUCAAUUGUGAUGAUAAUUCAUACAUUGAAGAUAAUGAAGUGAGCAUUCCAUUUUAUAUUGAGGAUUCGACUAGUAUACAGAUAGACUGUUGUGAGGUGAAAAAGUGUGGUUUUGAUUUAUUGUUUUAUCAAGUGAUUCGGGAUCAAGAUGAUGAGAAGCAAGUUGUACCAAAUGAAAUGGAGGACAGGGAACAACCUCUGAAGAAGUUAAAGGGAGCGUUGCUGUAGGUCUUGUUUGUUGUUUCGUUAUGGAGCAUCACAACUUUGAAUGGUUUCAUCAGA